AAGUCGUAACAAGGUUUCCGUAGGUGAACCUGCGGAAGGAUCAUUACAAAUCCAAUUUUCUUAAGGGUGUCAGCUGAGCCGGAUCGACAGAGUCUUCACCGACUUUGUCUUUCUGCUCGCUGCCCUUUAAGAAAAAAACCAAAUACCUAAACCCUUUGUGCACUGUUGAAAUGACGGCGAACGGGGUGGAAUUUUGCUCUCUCUCGAGAGUGUGAUUUUACCCUUUUCGGCGUCUACCCAUUUCAAACGCUUUAUAUAUCUUGCCUAAAGUUUUGAACCAAGUGAUUUAAUAAAUCUAAAUACAACUUUUAGCAACGGAUCUCUUGGCUCUC
rnacentral:misc_RNA from 1 species